rnacentral:tRNA from 1 species
GCAUUGGUGGUAAGAAGGCAUCUUGCCUUCCAUGCAGGAGACCCAGGUUCGAUUCCUGACCAAUGCA